UACGGAGGGUGCAAGCGUUAUCCGGAUUUACUGGGUUUAAAGGGCGCGUAGGCGGCAUAUUAAGUCAUCUGUGAAAUCUCCGAGCUUAACUCGGAACUGUCAGCUGAUACUGAUGUGCUAGAGUGCGGAAGGGGCAAUCGGAAUUCUUGGUGUAGCGGUGAAAUGCGUAGAUAUCAAGAGGAACACCUGAGGUGAAGACGGGUUGCUGGGCCGACACUGGCGCUGAGUGCGCGAAAGCCAGGGGGGCAAACGGG
rnacentral:rRNA from 1 species